UGGGAACGUGCCCUUCGGUUCGGAAUAACUCAGGGAAACUUGAGCUAAUACCGGAUACGUCCGUAAGGAGAAAGAUUUAAUCGCCGAAGGAUCGGCCCGCGUCGGAUUAGCUAGUUGGUGAGGUAACGGCCCACCAAGGCGACAAUCCGUAGCUGGUCUGAGAGGAUGAUCAGCCACACUGGGACUGAGACACGGCCCAGACUCCUACGGGAGCAG
rnacentral:rRNA from 1 species